rnacentral:lncRNA from 1 species
GCCUAAUUAAAGGAGUUACAAGGAGAAGAAUUGAUUAAUGUUGGAUCAUAUGUAAGGAUCACAAGUGUUCGGUAAAUUUGGUUUUGUUUCAAGAUAUCAUCCCACUUGGAGAAUAUCAAUGGAGGUAUAUGUCAUGGCUUAUACUCAUAGAUGGAGAGUUGUGCUUAUGAGGAUCAGAUGACACCAAAGUCUACAAAGUUAUAUGUGGGAUG